GAUGAACGCUAGCGGCAGGCUUAAUACAUGCAAGUCGUGGGGCAGCAGGUUUGUAGCAAUACAGAUGCUGGCGACCGGCAAACGGGUGCGGAACACGUACACAACCUUCCUUUAAGUGGGGAAUAGCCCAGAGAAAUUUGGAUUAAUACCCCGUACCAUUAUGAUGUGGCAUCACAUUAUAAUUAUAGCUACGGCGCUUAAUGAUGGGUGUGCGGCUGAUUAGGUAGUUGGCGGGGUAACGGCCCACCAAGCCUGCGAUCAGUAACUGGUGUGAGAGCCCGACCAGGCACACGGGGACUGGGACACGGGCCCGACUCCUACGGGAGGCAGCAGUAAGGAAUAUUGGGCAAUGGAGGAAACUCUGACCCAGCCAUGCCGCGUGGAGGAUGAAGGUCCUCUGGAUUGUAAACUUCUUUUAUAUGGGACGAAAAAGGGUCUUUCUAGGUCAACUGACGGUACCAUAUGAAUAAGCACCGGCUAACUCCGUGCCAGCCGCCGCGGUAACAC
rnacentral:rRNA from 1 species